UACGUAGGGUGCGAGCGUUGUCCGGAAUUAUUGGGCGUAAAGAGCUCGUAGGUGGUUUGUCACGUCGUCUGUGAAAUUCCGGGGCUUAACCUCGGGCGUGCAGGCGAUACGGGCAAUACUUGAGUGCUGUAGGGGAGCCUGGAAUUCCUGGUGUAGCGGUGAAAUGCGCAGAUAUCAGGAGGAACACCAAUGGCGAAGACAGGUCUCUGGGCAGUUACUGACGCUGAGGAGCGAAAGCAUGGGUAGCGAACAGGAUUAGA
rnacentral:rRNA from 1 species